rnacentral:rRNA from 1 species
UACGAACCGUGCGAACGUUGUUCGGAAUCACUGGGCUUAAAGGGCGCGUAGGCGGGCCAUCAAGUCAGUGGUGAAAUCCCUCAGCUUAACUGAGGAACAGCUUUUGAUACUGGUGGCCUCGAGGGGGGUAGGGGCAUGCGGAACUUCCGGUGGAGCGGUGAAAUGCGUAGAUAUCGGAAGGAACGCCGGUGGCGAAAGCGGCGUGCUGGACCCUUUCUGACGCUGAGGCGCGAAAGCCAGGGGAGCAAACGGG